rnacentral:rRNA from 1 species
UACGUAGGGUGCAAGCGUUAAUCGGAAUUACUGGGCGUAAAGCGUGCGCAGGCGGUUAUAUAAGACAGUUGUGAAAUCCCCGGGCUCAACCUGGGAACUGCAUCUGUGACUGUAUAGCUAGAGUACGGUAGAGGGGGAUGGAAUUCCGCGUGUAGCAGUGAAAUGCGUAGAUAUGCGGAGGAACACCGAUGGCGAAGGUAAUCCCCUGGACCUGUACUGACGCUCAUGCACGAAAGCGUGGGGAGCAAACGAGG